rnacentral:rRNA from 1 species
AUUGAACGCCGGCGGCAUGCCUUACACAUGCAAGUCGAACGGCAGCACGGGGCAACCUGGUGGCGAGUGGCGAACGGGUGAGUAAUGCAUCGGAACGUGCCAUUGAGUGGGGGGAUAACGUAGCGAAAGUUGCGCUAAUACCGCAUAUUCUGUGAGCAGGAAAGCAGGGGACCGCAAGGCCUUGCGCUCUUUGAGCGGCCGAUGUCAGAUUAGCUAGUUGGUGAGGUAACGGCUUACCAAGGCGACGAUCUGUAGCGGGUCUGAGAGGAUGAUCCGCCACACUGGAACUGAGACACGGUCCAGACUCCUACGGGAGGCAGCAGUGGGAAUUUUGGACAAUGGGCGCAAGCCUGAUCCAGCCAUGCCGCGUGAGUGAAGAAGGCCUCGGGUUGUAAAG